CUCCGAAGCGAUCUAGAGGGAGCUUGCUCCCAAAGAUUAGCGGCGGACGGGUGAUUAACACGUGGGCAACCUGCCUGUAAAACUGGGAUAACUCCGGGAAACCGGGGCUAAUACCGGAUAAUAUCUAUUUAUACAUAUAAUUAGAUUGAAAGAUGGUUCUGCUAUCACUUACAGAUGGGCCCGCGGCGCAUUAGCUAGUUGGUGAGGUAACGGCUCACCAAGGCGACAAUGCGUACCCAACCUGAGAGGGUGAUCGGCCACACUGGGACUGAGACACGGCCCAAACUCCUACGGGAGGCAGCAGUAGGGAAUCUUCCGCAAUGGACGAAAGUCUGACGGAGCAACGCCGCGUGAGUGAUGAAGGUUUUCGGAUCGUAAAACUCUGUUGUUAGGGAAAAACAAGUACCGGAGUAACUGCCGGUACCUUGACGGUACCUAACCAAAAAGCCACGGCUAACUACGUGCCAGCAGCCGCGGUAAUACGUAGGUGGCAAGCGUUGUCCGGAAUUAUUGGGCGUAAAGCGCGCGCAGGCGGUUCUUUAAGUCUGAUGUGAAAGCCCACGGCUCAACCGUGGAGGGUCAUUGGAAACUGGGGAACUUGAGUGCAAAAAAGGAAAGUGGAAUUCCAAGUGUAGCGGUGAAAUGCGUAGAGAUUUGGAGGAACACCAGUGGCGAAGGCGACUUUCUGGUCUGUAACUGACGCUGAGGCGCGAAAGCGUGGGGAGCAACAGGAUUAAAUACCCUGGUAGUCCACGCCGUAAACGAUGAGUGCUAGUGUUAGAGGGUUUCCGCCCUUUAGUGCUGCAGCAACGCAUUAGCACUCCGCUGGGGAGUCCACCGCAGGUUGAACUCAAGGAAUUGACGGGGCCCGCACAGCGGUGGAGCAGGUGUUAAUUCGAACCACGCGAAAACCUUACAGGUCUGACUCCUCUGACAUCCUAGAAAAAGACUUCCCUUCGGGGACAAAUGACAGUUGUGCAUGUUGUCUCACUCGUGUCGGA
rnacentral:rRNA from 2 species